rnacentral:rRNA from 1 species
AUUGAACGCUGGCGGCAGGCCUAACACAUGCAAGUCGAGCGGUAACACAGGGAGCUUGCUCCCGGGUGACGAGCGGCGGACGGGUGAGUAAUGUCUGGGAAACUGCCUGAUGGAGGGGGAUAACUACUGGAAACGGUAGCUAAUACCGCAUAACGUCGCAAGACCAAAGAGGGGGACCUUCGGGCCUCUUGCCAUCAGAUGUGCCCAGAUGGGAUUAGCUAGUAGGUGGGGUAACGGCUCACCUAGGCGACGAUCCCUAGCUGGUCUGAGAGGAUGACCAGCCACACUGGAACUGAGACACGGUCCAGACUCCUACGGGAGGCAGCAGUGGGGAAUAUUGCACAAUGGGCGCAAGCCUGAUGCAGCCAUGCCGCGUGUAUGAAGAAGGCCUUCGGGUUGUAAAGUACUUUCAGCGGGGAGGAAGGUGCUGAGGUUAAUAACCUCAGCAAUUGACGUUACCCGCAGAAGAAGCACCGGCUAACUCCGUGCCAGCCGCCGCGGUAACAC